rnacentral:rRNA from 1 species
UAUGUCAGAUGUGAAAUCGUAGGGCUCAACCCUGCAACUAUAUCUGAAACUGACAAGCUUGAGCAUAUGAGGGGUACCUGGAAUUCCUAGUGUAGGAGUGAAAUCCGUAGAUAUUAGGAGGAACACCAAUGGCGUAGGCAGGGUACUGGCAUAUUGCUGACACUGAGGCACGAAAGCGUGGGUAGCGAACGGAUUAGAUACCCCGGUAGUCCACGCCGUAAACGAUGAAUGCUA